rnacentral:rRNA from 1 species
AGCGGUAGAGAGAAGCUUGCUUCUCUUGCGAGCGGCGGACGGGUGAGUAAUGCCUAGGAAUCUGCCUGGUAGUGGGGGAUAACGUUCGGAAACGGACGCUAAUACCGCAUACGUCCUACGGGAGAAAGCAGGGGACCUUCGGGCCUUGCGCUAUCAGAUGAGCCUAGGUCGGAUUAGCUAGUUGGUGAGGUAAUGGCUCACCAAGGCGACGAUCCGUAACUGGUCUGAGAGGAUGAUCAGUCACACUGGAACUGAGACACGGUCCAGACUCCUACGGGAGGCAGCAGUGGGGAAUAUUGGACAAUGGGCGAAAGCCUGAUCCAGCCAUGCCGCGUGUGUGAAGAAGGUCUUCGGAUUGUAAAGCACUUUAAGUUGGGAGGAAGGGUUGUAAUUAAUACUCUGCAAUUUUGACGUU